UCCAGACUCCUACGGGAGGCAGCAGUGAGGAAUAUUGGUCAAUGGUCGGGAGACUGAACCAGCCAAGCCGCGUGAGGGAUGAAGGUACAGAGUAUCGUAAACCUCUUUUGUCAGGGAACAAAGGCGGGGACGUGUCCCCGGAUGAGUGUACCUGAAGAAAAAGCAUCGGCUAACUCCGUGCCAGCAGCCGCGGUAAUACGGAGGAUGCGAGCGUUAUCCGGAUUUAUUGGGUUUAAAGGGUGCGCAGGCGGUCUGUUAAGUCAGCGGUCAAAGCCCGGGGCUCAACCCCGUACUGCCGUUGAAACUGGGGCUCUUGAGUGAGCGAGAAGUAUGCGGAAUGCGUGGUGUAGCGGUGAAAUGCAUAGAUAUCACGCAGAACCCCGAUUGCGAAGGCAGCAUACCGGCGCUCAACUGACGCUGAGGCACGAAAGUGCGGGUAUCGAACAGGAUUAGAUACCCCUGUAAU
rnacentral:rRNA from 1 species